AGUUCGGAUUAUUGAAAGGUGCUUGCAUCUUGAUUUAAUUUUGAACGAGUGGCGGACGGGUGAGUAACACGUGGGUAACCUGCCCUUAAGUGGGGGAUAACAUUUGGAAACAGAUGCUAAUACCGCAUAAAUCCAAGAACCGCAUGGUUCUUGGCUGAAAGAUGGCGUAAGCUAUCGCUUUUGGAUGGACCCGCGGCGUAUUAGCUAGUUGGUGAGGUAACGGCUCACCAAGGCAAUGAUACGUAGCCGAACUGAGAGGUUGAUCGGCCACAUUGGGACUGAGACACGGCCCAAACUCCUACGGGAGGCAGCAGUAGGGAAUCUUCCACAAUGGACGCAAGUCUGAUGGAGCAACGCCGCGUGAGUGAAGAAGGCUUUCGGGUCGUAAAACUCUGUUGUUGGAGAAGAAUGGUCGGCAGAGUAACUGUUGUCGGCGUGACGGUAUCCAACCAGAAAGCCACGGCUAACUACGUGCCAGCAGCCGCGGUAAUACGUAGGUGGCAAGCGUUAUCCGGAUUUAUUGGGCGUAAAGCGAGCGCAGGCGGUUUUUUAAGUCUGAUGUGAAAGCCCUCGGCUUAACCGAGGAAGUGCAUCGGAAACUGGGAAACUUGAGUGCAGAAGAGGACAGUGGAACUCCAUGUGUAGCGGUGAAAUGCGUAGAUAUAUGGAAGAACACCAGUGGCGAAGGCGGCUGUCUGGUCUGUAACUGACGCUGAGGCUCGAAAGCAUGGGUAGCGAACAGGAUUAGAUACCCUGGUAGUCCAUGCCGUAAACGAUGAAUGCUAGGUGUUGGAGGGUUUCCGCCCUUCAGUGCCGCAGCUAACGCAUUAAGCAUUCCGCCUGGGGAGUACGACCGCAAGGUUGAAACUCAAAGGAAUUGACGGGGGCCCGCACAAGCGGUGGAGCAUGUGGUUUAAUUCGAAGCAACGCGAAGAACCUUACCAGGUCUUGACAUCUUUUGAUCACCUGAGAGAUCAGGUUUCCCCUUCGGGGGCAAAAUGACAGGUGGUGCAUGGUUGUCGUCAGCUCGUGUCGUGAGAUGUUGGGUUAAGUCCCGCAACGAGCGCAACCCUUAUGACUAGUUGCCAGCAUUUAGUUGGGCACUCUAGUAAGACUGCCGGUGACAAACCGGAGGAAGGUGGGGAUGACGUCAAAUCAUCAUGCCCCUUAUGACCUGGGCUACACACGUGCUACAAUGGAUGGUACAACGAGUUGCGAGACCGCGAGGUCAAGCUAAUCUCUUAAAGCCAUUCUCAGUUCGGACUGUAGGCUGCAACUCGCCUACACGAAGUCGGAAUCGCUAGUAAUCGCGGAUCAGCACGCCGCGGUGAAUACGUUCCCGGGCCUUGUACACACCGCCCGUCACACCAUGAGAGUUUGUAA
rnacentral:rRNA from 2 species